rnacentral:rRNA from 1 species
GACGAACGCUGGCGGCGUGCUUAACACAUGCAAGUCGAACGGAAAGGCCCUGCUUUUGUGGGGUGCUCGAGUGGCGAACGGGUGAGUAACACGUGAGUAACCUGCCCUUGACUUUGGGAUAACUUCAGGAAACUGGGGCUAAUACCGGAUAGGAGCUCCUGCUGCAUGGUGGGGGUUGGAAAGUUUCGGCGGUUGGGGAUGGACUCGCGGCUUAUCAGCUUGUUGGUGGGGUAGUGGCUUACCAAGGCUUUGACGGGUAGCCGGCCUGAGAGGGUGACCGGCCACAUUGGGACUGAGAUACGGCCCAGACUCCUACGGGAGGCAGCAGUGGGGAAUAUUGCACAAUGGGCGGAAGCCUGAUGCAGCAACGCCGCGUGCGGGAUGACGGCCUUCGGGUUGUAAACCGCUUUCGCCUGUGACGAAGCGUGAGUGACGGUAAUAGGUAAAGAAGCACCGGCUAACUACGUGCCAGCAGCCGCGGUGAUACGUAGGGUGCGAGCGUUGUCCGGAUUUAUUGGGCGUAAAGGGCUCGUAGGUGGUUGAUCGCGUCGGAAGUGUAAUCUUGGGGCUUAACCCUGAGCGUGCUUUCGAUACGGGUUGACUUGAGGAAAGUAGGGGAGAAUGGAAUUCCUGGUGGAGCGGUGGAAUGCGCAGAUAUCAGGAGGAACACCAGUGGCGAAGGCGGUUCUCUGGGCCUUUCCUGACGCUGAGGAGCGAAAGCGUGGGGAGCGAACAGGCUUAGAUACCCUGGUAGUCCACGCUGUAAACGGUGGGUACUAGGUGUGGGGUCCAUUCCACGGGUUCCGUGCCGUAGCUAACGCUUUAAGUACCCCGCCUGGGGAGUACGGCCGCAAGGCUAAAACUCAAAGGAAUUGACGGGGCCCCGCACAAGCGGCGGAGCAUGCGGAUUAAUUCGAUGCAACGCGUAGAACCUUACCUGGGUUUGACAUGGAUCGGGAGCGCUCAGAGAUGGGUGUGCCUCUUUUGGGGUCGGUUCACAGGUGGUGCAUGGCUGUCGUCAGCUCGUGUCGUGAGAUGUUGGGUUAAGUCCCGCAACGAGCGCAACCCUUGUUCACUGUUGCCAGCACGUUAUGGUGGGGACUCAGUGGAGACCGCCGGGGUCAACUCGGAGGAAGGUGGGGAUGACGUCAAGUCAUCAUGCCCCUUAUGUCCAGGGCUUCACGCAUGCUACAAUGGCUGGUACAGAGAGUGGCGAGCCUGUGAGGGUGAGCGAAUCUCGGAAAGCCGGUCUCAGUUCGGAUUGGGGUCUGCAACUCGACCUCAUGAAGUCGGAGUCGCUAGUAAUCGCAGAUCAGCAACGCUGCGGUGAAUACGUUCCCGGG